rnacentral:rRNA from 1 species
GACGAACGCUGGAGGCGUGCUUAACACAUGCAAGUCGAGCGGAGCGGCGAACGGGUGAGUAACGCGGGAGUAACUGCCCCCCUCUCUGGGAUAAAAGUUGGAAACGGCUGCUAAUAACGGAUAGUGGGGGAUGACUCGCGUCCUAUCAGCUUGUUGGUGGGGUAGUGGCCUACCAAGGCGACGAAGGGUAGCCGGCCUGAGAGGGCGACCGGCCACCUUGGGCUGAGCUACGGCCCAAACUCCUACGGGAGGCAGCAGUGGGGACUAUUGCACAAUGGGGGAAACCCUGAUGCAGCAACGCGCGUGCGGGAUGACGGCCUUCUGGUUGUAAACCGCUUUCAGCCAUGACGCGGUAUCUAACCAGAAAGCCACGGCUAACUACGUGCCAGCAGCCGCGGUAAUAC